rnacentral:tRNA from 1 species
GGCGUCGUGGCCGAGUGGCUAGGCAGCGGUCUGCAAAACCGUCUACAGCGGUUCGAAUCCGCUCGUCGCCUCCA